GAAAAGAAACUAACUAGGAUUCCCCCAGUAACUGCGAGUGAAGAGGGAAGAGCUCAUCAUUGGAAUCUGGCAGCGUUGCGCUGUCCGAGUUGUAGAUGAGAAGAGUGGGACAUCUGGACUGCAUGGUGUCCAAGUACAAUAGGCCGUCAGUGGGACAUCAUAGAGGGUGACAAUCCCGUCCUUGACACCAAUGUACGAGUCCUUUACGAUGCCUAUCUCGGAGAGUCGAGCAGUUUGGGAUUUGCUGCUUAAACACGGGAGGUAGAUUCCUUCCAAAGCUAAAUACAGGCAAGAGACCGAUAGUGAACAAGUACCGCAAGGGAAAGAUGAAAUAGAACUCUGUGAAGGGAGUCAAAAAGACGUGAAAUUGUUGCGAGAGAAGCGAUUCAAGUCAGCGUAGCUGGGCCCAUCAAGCCUCGCGCUUUGGACCAGCUUUGCCAGCGGUCUUGUCCCUAGAGACUUGACUAAGGUGCCCUGCCCGGUCUAACGGACAGGCCUCCCCUCUGGGGAGGCCAGUGGCAUGGCUGGUGGAAUGGCUUGCAAUCGACCCGUCUUGAAACACGGACCAAGGAGUCUAACAUGUACGCGAGUAUAAGGGUGGCAAACCCGUAUGCGCAAAGAAAGUGAUAGCCUUCAUGGCUGAGAAUGACCUGACGACCAGACAAGAAAUAUCAUGUCCCUCGUACGGUCAUUGCCCAAGUCCCAUGGUCAGAUCCCAUGGACAUGGAGUUGGAGCGUGCAUGCUAGGACCCGAAAGAUGGUGAACUAUGCCUGGACAAAGCGAAGCCAAAGGAAACUCUGGUGGAGGCUUGUAGCGAUUCUGACGUGCAAAUCGAUCGUCUGAUCUGGGUAUAGGGGCGAAAGACUAAUCGAACCAUCUCAUAGCUGGUUCCUGCCGAGUUCCCCCUCAGGA
rnacentral:rRNA from 1 species